GGAAGACUCAAUAUUGUUAAGAUGUCAGUUCUCCCCAAAAUGGUCUAUAAAUCCAGUGCAAUCCCAAUCAAAAUCUCAGUAGGCUUUUUUUUUUUUUUUUGGAGAAAUUGAUAAGCUGAUUCUAAUACUUUUAUGGAAAUGCAAGGACCUAAAAUAGCCAAAACAGUUUUCAAAAAGAAGAACAAAGUUGGAGGCCUAAUAUGACAUUAUUUCAAAGCUUAUUAUAAAGGAACAGUAAUCAAACUAGUGCAAUUUUGGCAUAAAGUUAGAAAAACAGAUCAAUGAAGCAGAAGAGAGAGUCCAGAAACAGAACUGCACAUUUAUGUGUUGGUGAAUGCCAGGGAUUCAGCUUAGGUCUGAUUGCUCACCACACAGAAAGCCAAUCACUGAGACAACAAGUACUGCCAGGAAGAAAGGCUUUAUUGCUGGUGAUGCCAGCCAGGAUAUGGGAGACAAGUCUAAAAUCUGUCUCUGUAACCAAUAAAGUUAGGAGUUUAUGUAGGAGUUGCUCAACAGGCAGUAGGUAGUUGAAUCAGGGUUCUGGCACCUUGCUGUUAGGAUGCAGCGAUCUGGAAAUCUUCAGCUUUCUGAUACUAUCUGGGAGGCCUGACAGCUGGUUUCCUGAGAAAUAAACUCAGAUAAGACAAAUGUAAGUUUCUCAAGCUUUAAAACCUGGAGAGUCCACUUCAAUGUUCAUUAAAAACAAAAACAAAAACAAAAAACAACAACAAAACUGUAAACAGUUUUUCCCAUCAGUUCUAUGGGAAAAUUGGGUCAGUUUCAUUGGCAUGACCAACUUUUUACAAAGAUGCAAAAGCAAGUCAGUGGAGAAAAGACAGUGAUUUCUAUCAUAUCAUCACAACAGUGAGGUUGGCACAAGUGGUAAUCUAUAUGCAAAAAUUAAAAACCUCAGUCCUUACCUUGCACAAUGUAUAUAAACUAACUCAAAAUGGAUCAUAUACCUAAAUGCAAAACCUAAAACUAAAACUUCUAAAAGAAAACUCUUGUGACCUUGGGUUAAGUAUCUUAAAUACUAUGCUAAAAGCAUGAUUUAUUAAAAUCAUAAAUUGAUACAUCUGACUUCAUCAAAAUUUAAAACACCUGCUCUUCAAAAGACAUUGUUAAGAGAGAAAAGUCACAGACUAGAAGAAAAUAUUUGCAAACCAUAUCUCUGAUAAAGGGCUUGUGUCCAGAACAUAUAACACACUCUCAAAAUUCAAUAAUAAGAAAACAAACCCAAUUUUUAGAUAGACAAAAUAUUCUAACAGACACUCUACCAAAGAAGAUAUACAAGUUGCAAAUAAUUACAUGAAAAUAUGCUCGAUAAUAUUUGUUAUUAUGGUACUGUUACCAGAAAGGGCAGAAAGGGGUCCUGAUGCAGACCCCAAGAGAAGGUUCUUGGACCUUGCACAAGAAAGAAUUUAGGGCGAGUCCAUAAAGUAAGCUGAAACCAAGUUUAUUAAGAUAGCAAAGGAGUAGGCCAGGCUCAGUGGUUGAAGCCUGUAAUCCCAGCACAUUGGGAGGCCAAAGCAGGCAGAUCACUUAAGGUCAGGAGUUCAAGAACAGCCUGGCCAAUAUGGCGAAACCUCAUUUCUACUAAAACUACAAAAAUUAGCCAGGCAUGGUGGUGCACACCUGUAGUCCCAGCUACUCGGAAGGCUGAGGCAGGAGAAUCGUUUGAACCUGGGAAGCGGAGGUUUCAGUGAGCCAAGAUCGCGCCAUUGCAGUCCAAACUAGGUGUCACAGUGAGACUCUGUCUCAAAACAAACAAAAAAACAAAACAAAAAACAAAAAACAAAGAAAGUGAAGGAAUAAAGGAAUGGCUGCUCCAUAGACAGAGCAGCAGCAUGGGCCGCUCAGCUGCUUAUACUUAUUGUUACUUCUUGAUUUUAUGCUAAACAAGGGGUGACUUAUUCAUGAGUUUUCUAGGAAAGAGGUGGGCAAUUCCUGGAACUGAGGGUUCCUCCCCUUUUCAGGCCAUAUAGGGUAACUUCCUGAUGUUGCCAUGGCACUGGUAAACUGUUAUGGCACUGGUGGGAGUGUCUUUUAGCAUGCUAAUGCAUUAUAAUUAGCAUAUAAUGAGCAGUAAGGACAACCAGAGGUCACUUUCAUCACUAUCUUAGUUUUGGUGGGUUUUGGCCAGCUUCUUUACUGCAUCCAGUUUUAUCAGCAAGGUCUUUGUGACCUGUAACUUGUGCCAACUUCCUAUCUCAUCUUGUGACUAAGAAUGCCUAACCUCCUGGGAAUGCAGCCCAGAAGGUCUCAGCUUUAUUUUAUCUAGCCUCUGCUCAAGAUGGAGUCACUCUGGUUCCAAUGCCUCUGACAGUAAUGUGAGUUAAAACCACAAUGGGAUACCAUUACAUGUUUUUGUGUGUUUUUUUUUUUCAUUUUUGUUUUGUUUUUUUAGAUAGAGUCUCGCUCUGUCACCUAGGCUGGAGUGCAGUGUCGCAAUCUCAGCUCACUGCAAGCUCUGCCUCCUGGGUUCAGGCCAUUCUCCUGCCUCAGCCGCCUGAGUACCUGGGACUACAGGCAUCCACCACCAUGCCCGGCUAAUUUUUUGUAUUUUUAGUAUUAUUCACCAUGUUAGCCAGGAUGGUCUCGAUCUCCUGACCUCGUGAUCUGCCCGCCUCGGCCUCCCAAAGUGCUGGGAUUACAGGUGUGAGCCACUGUGCCCGGCCCCAUUACAUGCUUUUAGAAUGGUCAAAAUUAAAAAGACUGAACACAUCAAGUUUUGACAAGAAUGUGAAGGAAUUGACACUCUCAUAUAUGGCUGGCAAAAAGAAACGAGAGUUUUCAUGGGCGAUGAGGCGGAUGAACGUAUGAGAUUGCAGUAGAAGCUCCAGUAUGCGGCGAUUUCUGGCUUAUUGACCUAUGACACUUUUUUUCUGGAUUCUUAUCUCAUUUAACUUUGCUAUUUGUAUUAGUUUCCAAAUGCUACUAUAGCAAAUUUCCACAAGCUUAGUGGCUUAAAACAACCCAACUGUGUUAUCCUACAGUCUGAAGGUCAGAAGUCCAAGUUAGGUCUCACUGGACUAAAAUCAGGGUGUAGACAGGGCUGUGUUCCCUCCCGCCUUGGCCAGCUUCUAGAGAUGCUCUCACUCCUUGGUUCAAGGCCCCUCUCGUCUUCCAAAGAGAGCCAUGUCCGGUCUUAACUCGCAUUAACUCCAACUAUCUUGACUCUUUUGUCCACUUAUCAGGACCCUGUGACUACACUGGGCCCACCUGGAUAGUCUAGACUCAUCUUCCCAUCUCAGAUCUUUAACUUAAUCUCAUCUGCGAAAUCCCUUUUGUCAUGUAAGCUAAUGCUCACAGGUCCGGGGAUCAGGAUGUGGACAUUUUAGGGGUGUCAUUAUCCUGCCUGCCACGCUGUGGUUAUUCACCUUUCUAUGUGUUCAUGCUUUGGCACCCCCAGCAGAUGGGAAGCUCCUCUGGGGAGUGGGGUACUGCUUCUUUGUCAUUCUGUUCCCCAUAGCAAUUGCCCAAUUCAGAUACUCAGAAGGUAUUUUUCAAUUAGUUUUCCUUCCUGACUCCUGGUUUGAAUAACACAGAAGUGUAUUUCUAGGUAGUAGCUGUGUUGAGCCAGCCAUGGUAUCUUACCUUCUUGCUAGUCAGUGGGAUACAAAGAUGAUUCAAUAUUGCCCCAAUUUUCAAUAAAUUUGCCAGGUCGGGCACGGUGGCCCUCGCCUGUAAUCCCAGCAUUUUAAGAGGCCAGAGCAAGAGGAUUACUUGAGCCCAGAAGCCCAAGACCACCCUGGGCAGCAUAGUGAGACCUCGUCUCUAGAAAAAAAUUUAAAAACUUAGCUGGGCAUGGCGGUGCCUGCCUGAAGUCCCGGCUACUUGGGAGGCUAAGGUGGGAGGAUUGCUUGAGCCCAGAAGUUAGAGGCUGCAGUGAGCCAUGAUCACACCACUGCACUCCAGCCUGGGUGACACAGUGAGACCAUGUCUCAAAAUAAAUAAAUAAAUAAAUAAAUUUGCCUUGCAAAAUGUUCAAGAUGGCUGGACAGCACCCACAGGGUAAGCUCUUUGACACAGGAACGACACAUACAACUAAAGAUAAAAAUAAUGUGAUACUUGAUUGAGCAUAAUUUUAUGGAGCAGAGGUAGCUAGAAUGAGUGGA
rnacentral:lncRNA from 1 species